rnacentral:ncRNA from 1 species
CAACCGAUUUUUUGUGAUUCAUGAUAUCUUUGCGGACCGCAUGGCCUUGCGCCGCGGCGGGUCAUUCAAAUUUCUGCCCUAUCAACUGUCGAUGGUAGGGAUAGAGGCCUCCCAUUGGUGAUAACGGGUAACGGGGAAUUAGGGGUUCGAUUUCCGGAGAAGGGAGCCUGAGAAACGGCUACCACAUCCAAGGAAGGCAGCAGGCGCGCAAAUUACCCAAUCCUGAUACAGGGAGGUAGUGACAAUAAAUAACGAUGCAGGACCUUUUGGUCUUUGCAAUUGGAAUGAGUACAAUUUAAAUCCCUUAACGAGGAACAAUUGGAGGGCAAGUCUGGUGCCAGCAGCCGCGGUAAUUCCAGCUCCAAUAGCGUAUAUUAAAGUUGUUGCAGUUAAAAAGCUCGUAGUUGAAUUUCAAGGGUUUUUUUCGUAGCUAGCCAUUGUUCCCUUUGCGGUCAAUGUGCAUUUGGCUACAGGCCCUUUUUUUCUG